UGGGGAAUAUUGGACAAUGGGCGAAAGCCUGAUCCAGCCAUGCCGCGUGUGUGAAGAAGGCCUUUUGGUUGUAAAGCACUUUAAGUGGGGAGGAAAAGCUUAUGGUUAAUACCCAUAAGCCCUGACGUUACCCACAGAAUAAGCACCGGCUAACUCUGUGCCAGCAGCCGCGGUAAUACAGAGGGUGCAAGCGUUAAUCGGAAUUACUGGGCGUAAAGCGCGCGUAGGUGGUUAUUUAAGUCAGAUGUGAAAGCCCCGGGCUUAACCUGGGAACUGCAUCUGAUACUGGAUAACUAGAGUAGGUGAGAGGGGAGUAGAAUUCCAGGUGUAGCGGUGAAAUGCGUAGAGAUCUGAAGGAAUACCGAUGGCGAAGGCAGCUCCCUGGCAUCAUACUGACACUGAGGUGCGAAAGCGUGGGUAGCAAACAGGAUUAGAUACCCUGGUAGUCCACGCCGUAACGAUGUCUACCAGUCGUUGGGUCUUUUAAAGACUUAGUGACGCAGUUAACGCAAUAAGUAGACCGCCUGGGGAGUACGGCCGCAAGGUUA
rnacentral:rRNA from 1 species